UGGGGCUGCUAAUGGGUAUGUGGGCGGGCUCACACUCCCUCCGCUCCAAGUUUGAUAAGAGAAGGGGCCUCUCUGCUCGUUGGAAAAAGUGCAUCUUCCUAUAGGAUGUUGGGUUGACACCCACAUCCGUUCACUGGCUAGGCCAUUGUGCAUAGACUGUCCACCUACCUAGGUUUAUUACAUAGCCCCCUUUUCAUUCACAAUGGCUUGCCCCAAGUCACGCCGCGAAGUAUGGGUAGGGCCAGUGAUAGGACCUGAACUGUUGGAGGACAACCUCCUUCCACGCCAAGGUAUCUCAACCUCCCAAGGACCCGAGAGACAAGCACAGAGUAAGGUCCUCCAACUUAGCACGUACGGGUCCCUCUCUCCCGCUCAGGACCUUCCACCAAUCGAGUGUACGACGAUCUACUUCUUGGUCUUGAGGACCAAUCGAUUGGUUUCCUUGCCAGGCGUUGCUGGGCGCUGUUUGGCUCUGGUUUGGGAAGUGUGGGGAGAAGGGAAACCCCCGCCGCGGAAAGCGUUUGAAGACGACUGGCGCCGGCGCAGAAGGUCCCGCACCCAGCAGCGCCUCGCUCAGCCUGGGCGGCGGCGUCUGCACAAGUUUGAAGCUGAAAUGAUUAACAGCUAGUUCCUUGUUAACUAGAGGCUGCACAUGGCUGCCACCAUCACCAAGCAUGCGUGGCAGAGAGGAGCGUACCUGAUUGUCCGGCCUGAGGAGGCAAGGAGGGAUGAGUUUCAGGAUUGCACUGCUUUGAAAGAAACACAGAUUUCAGGAGCACAUCAUGUUUGUUUUAGUGACAAGGCUGCACCUCCCCACUGAGCCAGCCUCUAGUAUAAACAGUCACAAGGAGCCAAGCCACACCUUCAACACUUUGCUUAGCAAUUUCUUCAGCCAAACAUCCUGUUUCAUCACUUGCAAGACCUACCUUCCACAAAACACUGGAACACAAACACAGUUCAGCCAAGUUCUUUGCUACUGUAUAACGAGAAUCGCCUUUGUGGACAUGAGCAUGUCCAAACCUGAAUUGUUAUAAGAGCUUCUCUGAGCCAAACUGACAACAUGCUGGGAAGAAACAUCUCAAUGCUCAGGAGAAAGACAGUUUUGCUGUUUCUUUUAUACAUUUAGAAAUAAGGAGGGAACAUAAGGAAGAUGACAUGGAGGUGGGAGAAAGCAAGGUAAGGUUAGUUAACAAGAUUAUGUGCUCCCUUGAAGGUGGUUACCCCUCUGUGGAGUCUGAAAAAAGAGGAUUACUUCUGGCAUUACAAAAGUGUGUUACCCUAGAUGCACAAAAUCAAUGGACAGGGCUUGCUUAAGGCAAAGAUAAACCUUUUUAUAAGGGUAUGACUACCCACCAUGACCUUCCCAGUUAGGAAUUUUAUGAUCAGAUCACCCUUUGAGGUUACUUUCAGUCACUGAGCUUGUGCGUACCCCUUUUUUGUUCACACCUUUCCUCCGUUUUUCAAUGUGUUCCUAUUUCCAUUUGAGACCUCAUCAGAAUGGCCGUUACCAUCCAUAUUUCUACCAACUUUCUGUUCAGGAUUACCCAUGUAUUCUCUAAGACAGGGGUGUCAAACUCAAUUAAAACACGGGCCAUUUGGUGCAACAGG